CCUACGGGGGGCAGCAGUGGGGAAUAUUGGGCAAUGGGCGCAAGCCUGACCCAGCAACGCCGCGUGAAGGAAGAAGGCUUUCGGGUUGUAAACUUCUUUUCUCAGGGACGAAGCAAGUGACGGUACCUGAGGAAUAAGCCACGGCUAACUACGUGCCAGCAGCCGCGGUAAUACGUAGGUGGCAAGCGUUAUCCGGAUUUACUGGGUGUAAAGGGCGUGUAGGCGGGACUGCAAGUCAGAUGUGAAAACCACGGGCUCAACCUGUGGCCUGCAUUUGAAACUGUAGUUCUUGAGUACUGGGGAGGCAGACGGAAUUCCUAGUGUAGCGGUGAAAUGCAUAGAUAUCGCGCAGAACUCCGAUUGCGAAGGCAGCAUGCCGGCUCCACACUGACGCUGAGGCACGAAAGCGUGGGUAUCGAACAGGAUUAGAUACCCGGGUAGUC
rnacentral:rRNA from 1 species